CCUCUCUGUGCCACAUUUUCUCAUCUGUAAAAUUAGGAUAUUAAUAAUGCCAUAGUGUUGAUGUGAAGAUUCAAGGAGUUUUAAUACAUGAAAAGUGCUAAGAAAAGUACCUGGUGGCCUUCCUGGUUGGGUCGUCCAGACCUCCACGCCUGAGAGCCUGAGCCCUUGGUCAUCACGUCCUCCUUUGGCUGUGGCUGCUGCUCUUGUCCAUUCACCAUCAAAUAUGGAUGAAAGAGUCCAAGGCGACACCUUGAUGGAUCUCCUGAGUGCCCAAUGGAGUCAGUAGCUUCAUUGUGCAGUAGCUUCAUCCUCCUGAGAGUCCCCCUGAGAUUCCCCAGCAGCCUGCCAGGUGUCCCACAUGAAUGCAGCCUGUUCUGGUUCUCCUUCCUGAUAAGAGUGGAAAAGAAUGCAUUCACCCCAUACAGGCUGCAUUCCUGGGCCACAGGCCACCAAGCUCACCCGCACCAGGAAAGCUGCUCUCCACCAGUUACAAACAGCAACUGCCUGAUUGAGUUGCAGAUGUCCAUUGUCAUCCUCUAGAGUCUGUUGGGAUUUUCUAGGGCCAGACGUGAAUUAAAUAGGGGUGUGCUGGGUGCAGCCCUCCCAUCCUCUAGGUGUUUAAUCUCUGGCAUUUCCUCUGGGAUGUGAUAUUAUUUUUGAUUUCCUGCAUUGAUGUGUGUGUCUGGGAGUGGGGGGCCUCCACUUGAACUUCCCCACGGAGGUAGUUCCUACCACCGACUCCUAGAAACUAAUGUGGCAGUUUUACCAAUU